rnacentral:rRNA from 1 species
GGAGGUUAGUGCAAUGGCAUAAGCCAGCUUGACUGCGAGCGUGACGGCGCGAGCAGGUGCGAAAGCAGGUCAUAGUGAUCCGGUGGUUCUGAAUGGAAGGGCCAUCGCUCAACGGAUAAAAGGUACUCCGGGGAUAACAGGCUGAUACCGCCCAAGAGUUCAUAUCGACGGCGGUGUUUGGCACCUCGAUGUCGGCUCAUCACAUCCUGGGGCUGAAGUAGGUCCCAAGGGUAUGGCUGUUCGCCAUUUAAAGUGGUACGCGAGCUGGGUUUAGAACGUCGUGAGACAGUUCGGUCCCUAUCUGCCGUGGGCGCUGGAGAACUGAGGGGGGCUGCUCCUAGUACGAGAGGACCGGAGUGGACGCAUCACUGGUGUUCGGGUUGUCAUGCCAAUGGCACUGCCCGGUAGCUAAAUGCGGAAGAGAUAAGUGCUGAAAGCAUCUAAGCACGAAACUUGCCCCGAGAUGAGUUCUCCCUGACCCUUUAAGGGUCCUGAAGGAA